rnacentral:rRNA from 2 species
UUCGCAAUGCCCGAAAGGGUGACGAAGCGACGCCGCGUGGGUGAGGAAGGCCUUCGGGUUGUAAAGCCCUGUCAGGAGUUAAGAAAUGCAGGUGCGCUAAUAUCGUAUCUGUUUGACAAAUGCUCCAAAGGAAGCCACGGCUAACUCUGUGCCAGCAGCCGCGGUAAUACAGAGGUGGCAAGCGUUGUUCGGAAUUAUUGGGCGUAAAGAGCACGUAGGUGGGCUUGUAAGUCAGAUGUGAAAGCCUUCUGUUCAACGGGAGAAUUGCAUCUGAAACUACAAACCUUGAGUGUAGGAGGGGAGAAUGGAACUUCUGGUGGAGCGGUGAAAUGCGUAGAUAUCAGAAGGAACGCCGGCGGCGAAAGCGAUUCUCUGGCCUAUUACUGACACUCAGUGUGCGAAAGCUAGGGGAGCAAACGGGAUUAGAUACCCCGGUAGUCCUAGCCGUAAACGAUGGGCACUAAGUAGAGGGGUUUU